rnacentral:rRNA from 1 species
UACGUAGGUGGCAAGCGUUGUCCGGAUUUACUGGGCGUAAAGAGCUCGUAGGCGGUCUGUCGCGUCUGCUGUGAAAACUCAGGGCUUAACCCUGAGCUUGCAGUGGGUACGGGCAGACUAGAGUGCGGUAGGGGAGACUGGAAUUCCUGGUGUAGCGGUGAAAUGCGCAGAUAUCAGGAGGAACACCGGUGGCGAAGGCGGGUCUCUGGGCCGUAACUGACGCUGAGGAGCGAAAGCAUGGGGAGCGAACAGG